CACAAAUAUGAAGGCGGGCUGGAACCUCUCGGGGUUACGGCCUUGCUGAAUUAUUCACCCUUGUCUUUUGCGUACUUCUUGUUUCCUUGGUGGGUUCGCCCACCACUAGGACAAACAUAAACCUUUUGUAAUUGCAAUCAGCGUCAGUAACAAAUUAAUAAUUA
rnacentral:misc_RNA from 1 species